rnacentral:misc_RNA from 1 species
GUGCUUCCGUCGUCACACGCUGCUCCGUGGCCAGCGCCUUCGCCUUCGAGACCACGUCUUCGACCGUGUCUGUCUGGCUUAGCACGCUUGCCCGGUGGUAAGCGUAGGCUCGCGGGUUCCACGGCUCCGACGGCUCCUGGCCGGCGGCCAGCGCCUUGACGGUCUUCAGGAGGCGCCGCCGGACGGCAAUGAUCUGAAAGUCCGAGCUCGUGAGGUGCUCGAGGGUUCGGUCGGCCAAUGGGCCCCACUGGUUCUCCAUCAUCGCGAUGUCCUGGAGCGGGAAGCAAUUGAUUCCCGUGUAGGAGAAGUUCUUCUGGGCCACUCGGUCGAUCUUGUAAUCGUUAUGGACGUUGGCUGCGCCCUGGUAGGUG